AUCUCUGAGCAGUGGAUCACUCGGCUUGUGCAUCAGUGAAGAACACAGCUAGCUGUGAGAAUUAAUGUUAUUUGCAGGACACAUUGAUCAUCAACACUUUGAACGGACUUUGCAGUCCCAGGUUACUCCUGGGGCUAUGCCUGUCUGAGGUCG